rnacentral:rRNA from 1 species
ACGGGACUAUGCAGAUGAAGUUUUCGGAUGGAAUUUUGUAUAGUUUAGUGGCGGACGGGUGAGUAACACGUGAGCAACCUGCCUUCGAGAGGGGAAUAACGGCUGGAAACGGUCGCUAAUACCGCAUAACAUACAGGAGGGACAUCCCUUUUGUAUCAAAGAUUUAUCGCUCGAAGAUGGGCUCGCGUCCGAUUAGGUAGUUGGUGAGGUAAUGGCCCACCAAGCCGACGAUCGGUAGCCGGACUGAGAGGUUGAACGGCCACAUUGGGACUGAGACACGGCCCAGACUCCUACGGGAGGCAGCAGUGGGGGAUAUUGCACAAUGGGGGAAACCCUGAUGCAGCGACGCCGCGUGUAGGAAGACGGUCCUCUGGAUUGUAAACUACUGUCCCCAGGGACGAAGAUGACGGUACCUGGGGAGGAAGCUCCGGCUAACUACGUGCCAGCAGCCGCGGUAAUACGUAGGGAGCGAGCGUUGUCCGGAAUUACUGGGUGUAAAGGGAGCGUAGGCGGGGAUGCAAGUUGGGUGUUAAAUCUACCGGCUCAACUGGUAGUCGCACUCAAAACUGCAGCUCUUGAGUGAAGUAGAGGCAGGCGGAAUUCCUAGUGUAGCGGUGAAAUGCGUAGAUAUUAGGAGGAACACCAGUGGCGAAGGCGGCCUGCUGGGCUUUUACUGACGCUGAGGCUCGAAAGUGUGGGGAGCAAACAGGAUUAGAUACCCUGGUAGUCCACACCGUAAACGAUGAUUACUAGGUGUGGGGGGUCUGACCCCCUCCGUGCCGGAGCAAACGCAAUAAGUAAUCCACCUGGGGA